rnacentral:misc_RNA from 1 species
CGAAGCUCAAGUCUUUUGCCAACUUAGAGGAGGAUGGAACUGUGUUAACUGUUUGGAAGAAGUCUUUGCUUUUCAACUGCAAUGGCUUUACUGUGUUUGAUGCCAAAGGGAACCUCGUUUUUAGAGUNAUUACAUGGCUGGCUCUGGUACUAAAGGCGAGAUCAUUCUCAUGGAUGCCGGAGGCAAGCCUCUCCUCACCAUUCGACGCAAGAGGCUGAGCUUAACGGACAACUGGCUGGUUUACGACGGAGAAACGGCGGGGAAACCCCCCUUCUCGAUGAGGNGAAGCACGUGAACAUCCUUAACAGCAAGAGUUUGGCUCACGUGAGCUCAGUUACAACCGGUAGUAGAAGCUCUAGCAAUGGAAAGAACAUAGUAUACGAAAUAG